rnacentral:rRNA from 1 species
UACGUAGGGUGCAAGCGUUGUCCGGAAUUAUUGGGCGUAAAGAGCUCGUAGGCGGUUUGUUGCGUCGGCUGUGAAAUCCCGAGGCUCAACCUCGGGUCUGCAGUCGAUACGAGCAAACUAGAGUGUUGCAGGGGAGACUGGAAUUCCUGGUGUAGCGGUGAAAUGCGCAGAUAUCUGGAGGAAUACCUAUGGCGAAGGCAGGUUACUGGGCCAUCACUGACGCUGAGCUGCGAAAGCUAGGGGAGCAAACAGG